rnacentral:rRNA from 1 species
GAACGCUGGCGGCAUGCUUUACACAUGCAAGUCGAACGGCAGCAUGGAGAGCUUGCUCUCUGAUGGCGAGUGGCGAACGGGUGAGUAAUACAUCGGAACGUGUCCUUUUGUGGGGGAUAACUACUCGAAAGAGUAGCUAAUACCGCAUAAGACCUAAGGGUGAAAGCGGGGGACCUUCGGGCCUCGCGCAGUUGGAGCGGCCGAUGACUGAUUAGCUAGUUGGUGGGGUAAAGGCCUACCAAGGCGACGAUCAGUAGCUGGUCUGAGAGGACGACCAGCCACAUUGGGACUGAGACACGGCCCAAACUCCUACGGGAGGCAGCAGUGGGGAAUUUUGGACAAUGGGGGCAACCCUGAUCCAGCCAUGCCGCGUGCGGGAAGAAGGCCUUCGGGUUGUAAACCGCUUUUGUUAGGAACGAAAAGGUAUCUGUGAACAACAGGUAUUGCUGACGGUACCUAAAGAAUAAGCACCGGCUAACUACGUGCCAGCAGCCGCGGUAAUACGUAGGGUGCGAGCGUUAAUCGGAAUUACUGGGCGUAAAGCGUGCGCAGGCGGUUGGGUAAGACAGGUGUGAAAUCCCCGAGCUUAACUUGGGAACUGCACUUGUGACUGCUCAACUAGAGUAUGUCAGAGGGAGGUGGAAUUCCAAGUGUAGCAGUGAAAUGCGUAGAUAUUUGGAAGAACACCGAUGGCGAAGGCAGCCUCCUGGGAUAAUACUGACGCUCAUGCACGAAAGCGUGGGGAGCAAACAGGAUUAGAUACCCUGGUAGUCCACGCCCUAAACGAUGUCAACUAGUUGUUGGGCCGCAUGGCUUAGUAACACAGCUAACGCGAGAAGUUGACCGCCUGGGGAGUACGGUCGCAAGAUUAAAACUCAAAGGAA